UACGGAGGGUGCAAGCGUUAUCCGGAUUCACUGGGUUUAAAGGGUGCGUAGGUGGAUUAGUAAGUCAGUGGUGAAAUCUCCGAGCUUAACUCGGAAACUGCCAUUGAUACUAUUAGUCUUGAAUUAUCUGGAGGUGAGCGGAAUAUGUCAUGUAGCGGUGAAAUGCUUAGAUAUGACAUAGAACACCAAUUGCGAAGGCAGCUCACUACGGAUAUAUUGACACUGAGGCACGGAAAGCGUGGGGAUCAAACAGG
rnacentral:rRNA from 1 species